CCCUUAGAUGUUCUGGGCUGCACGCGCGCUACACUGAAGCUAUCAACACGUUUUCCCUCCCUGAGAAGGGCGGGUAACCUUUUGAAUCAGCUUCGUGGUAGGGAUCGGGGCUUGCAAUUGUUCCCCGUGAACCAGGAAUUCCUAGUAGACGCGAGUCAUAAGCUCGCAUCGAUUAAGUCCCUGCCCUUUGUACACACCGCCCGUCGCUACUACCGAUUGAACGUUUUAGUGAGGCAUUUGGACCGACGCGUCUCAGUUUAACCGCUGGUUUGUGUUGGAAAGACUUCCAAACUUGAGCGUUUAGAGAAAGUAAAAGUCGUAACA
rnacentral:rRNA from 1 species